UUUUUUUUUUUUUUUUUUUUUUUUUUUUUUUUUUUUUUGACUACUGUUAUUCAGAAGAUCUUUUCCCGGGGCCAAAUUUUAUUCCAUUGAUCUUUCAGUGUUCUUUAAACACAGCCCUUGAACCACGCCAACCUUGAAAUAAUAAGGAUAAAUCUUGAAGGUAAGAUCACCGCUGCUGUCUAUAGGCAAGGAAGCGAAGUGCACUCGUGCAGUGACUGGGGUAUGGUGUAUUAGCUUCUGCAACCAGGAGCAAAAGUUAAAUGUGACUAUCCAUGGGGACAUGGGGAGUGUGUGCGGCUCAGCACCACCCUGAAUGAAAACGCAAAAAUGGUUUGGUGCUUAAGACUCUCAACCCUGGUGACGGCAGAGCUGCUGAGCUUGGUUUUAUGCUGCAUCGUUUACAGGAAGCAGCAUUUGUUCCUUAGAAAUUUACAGCGGCAGCUCACAACUGAGGGCACGGCCCCUUCCCCAUCCUGGGACUUAGAGGUAGAGGGCAGGGGUGUUGCUGCUAAACCCAACAUAGUUUGUAGUAGAAUCCCGAACAACUAGCUAUCUGCCAGGGCCAAUGUUGUCUAGCUGAGAAGUCCUCCUGCGGGAGUGCUUGUUCCGAAUCCUCAGGUUAGAGGUGAAGAGUUAGGAGAAGGGGAUGCACAAUGUGCUCUGGUGUUCCCUAGAGCAGCCAUGACUUUGAUAACAAUCACUUCUUGAAAACAACAUUUUCUACCAUUGCCACUAUAUGGUGAGAAGAUACAGAGUUGGUGUAGCUAUGAAGGACUUUCAAGAGUUUUCAGUAGGAGCUUCUAACAGUACAAGCAACAUCUUUGUCCCUAGGCUGUUUAUUCAUGCCUUAUGCUUAGGAAAAAUGGUGAGGUUAGAGACGAGGAGAAGUCUGACUUUGAUGAGUGGAUCUGAAAUAGUGUGCCUGGAGAAGUCAAGUUUAGUUUCUAGAAGGAGGGGAUGUGGCAAUACCUAGAACGUUCUGAGCUUGGGAGUGGGUUUGAUGUUUAGAGACAAAAAUAGUUUUGGAGGCACAGGGUAAAGAAGCAUAAUUAAAUCGAAUCUCCCAUGAGCUCUGUGAUUUUGGUGGUGUGAAUAUUGUGUGCAGAGUCUUCGUACAUACAUACAUACAUACAUACAUAUUAGUGCUCAGCUCAGUAGAAGCUUUGAAAGGUCAGGAGUCUACACGGUCUACGUGGUGAGAGAAAGGGGCUAAAGGAAAUUGGUGACCUUAGUGCCGAAGAGAAGCAUCCCUUAAGCUAGAUUGGCUUUGAAUCUAAACUCUUUCACAUACCAGUUCCUUGGGCAAUUUAUUAAUCAGCCCCAGUUUCCUCGUAUGUAAAGUGAGUAUUACAGUAAUGAUCCUAAUUUGGAUGUCUGACUAUAAAAAACAUCUAUGAAGUGUGUGUGUGUGUGUGUGUGUGUGUUGUGGUGUGAGUUGACUAUCAUGACUGUCACUGUUGGUUUACUUCAUAUCUCUUUUCCUGAUCUGGUUACAAAUUCUGCCUUCACCUCCUGAGUGGUCUAAGGUUUCUUCUGGUGCUUUGCUGCCAGAGCUGUGGGUACCAUCCGACUGUUCUUUCAGUGGAUGAACCUAUUCUGACCACAUGCUGCUUUGUGGUGCUAAGUGUGGGGCUACAGAGGUGUCCUGAACACAAGGCUUGCUUUACUGGGUCGGAUAUGUGAUGAGGUAGAAGGCAUGUGUCUCUAGCAUAGCACUGUGAGAGGCAGCCUGGUGGGUACUGCACAGAUUUAGACAUUAAGAUUGGGGUUCCAAUGGCUCAUAAUUUUUCUGGUCCUCCAAUCAUCAUUUAUAAAAAUAGUACUAUUGCAGCCUUUGUGAGCGAACUGUUGGGAACAAGAGGCACACAAAUCACUAAGUGUCUAUAGAUGUUCAGUAUUCGCUAUAACGGCUACCUGUCUGCAGGGUGUUAGUUUAUCUUGUGUCUGUGGAACCUGUAGACAUUUUUAGUCCAUGCUGCGUAGGGAGAUUUUAUUUGUUUCCUACCGGAGAUGCUUGUCUUUGUCAAAUAGAAUUUCAUGUGACCUCUGGAAUCAAGUACAGCUGGCUGCCGGUCUUGGCUCUGCUCUGACUAGUGCUGUGGCUGGCCGUUCCUUAAGCAGUAGACUUUUCAGUAUAAAAUGGGAAGAAUAAUGGUUCCAUGCCCACAAUGAUGUUCUGAGGAUUAAUGGAAGUCAACUGUGUAAAAUGAGCCCAGUACAUAUGGAGCUCUCCCUAAAUGGUAGCUCCGAUUUAUCCUGUUAGUUGAAAUAGUGGCUUCGGAGUGUCAAGAUGAAUGACUUCCUGUAUAUUCUCUGUUCAGUUUUAUACUUUUCAGGCUUCAUUAUUCUGUAAUUCAUCACAGCCAUGUCAUUAUAGAAAGCUUUAUUUCUAUGUUUGCUUAGCAAUGUGUGCGAGUGGUUUUAUAAAGAUGCAGGCUUAGAAUGUAUUGGGUUCUGUGUCCUGUGUUCUUGGAUAGUGAAAGCUGGGUUUCAUAAAUGUUGCUGUAAUAACCAAGUAAUCUAUUAUUGCCCAUUAGAUGUAUGCUUAUGUAACCAUUUUUCCUUUGUUGUGUGAUUGAGUUAUUUGUUUACAACACUUUACAGUUAUAGCACUUCAAAUCAUGUAUACGGCUUUUGGGGAUUGAGUUGUUUUCUUAUUUAGUUUGCUCCUUCGGAUGAAUUCUCAGGAGGAUGACAGUUGUUCAAAGGGGUAAAUGUGCCUUUUGAAUGCAUAUUGCCAAACUUCUUUCCCAGAGGGGUCAGCCGAUUUUUGUUUCUGUCUUUCUGAUUUUGAAAGCUUCAGUUCACUCUCUUACCCAAUAUAUGCUUACCGUGUCAUGCUUAGCCCUUAACCAUGUUGCGGAUUUGCUGAGAACACAGUAACAGAAGGGAGAGCCUCAUAUGUAAACACAGCUCUUGUGCCACAGGCUGAUAAAGGCACAGCAUACCUGGAUCUCAGAGGAAGGGCUCCAGCCUUACUGGUAGAGAAGUUAUUUUCAGUGUUCAGGAAAUCCAGGCUGUGUUCUCUGGUAGAAAGUCAUCCCCGACUCCUGCCCCUGAGCAGUUUACAGAGGUGUAAGGGACAAUAAAAAUUGUAUGGUGUCAUGGUUUGCAAUCCGUGCCCAUCACCCUCUCCCAAAGGAGUAGUAAAUCUAUUUUCUAUGAAGGAAAAGAGAAGAGGCUGAGUGUUGUUUGCAAACGUAGAGGUUUUGUUCCUUCUUUGGGAUUAUUUACAGACAUCUUUAGUAAGAUUCGUCUUUUCUUCCCUGGUCCUUGCCAUUUUCUCUUUUAAUGUGCUCUUUGUAUAAACUACUCUUUAUAGUUUGUGGUAGUAGGGGUUCACGAACCGAAGGAAGUAUAAAAACUUCAUGUUUUUGUUCUGGAACAUGCAUAGCUACUAUCUUGUUUCAGUUCCUCCCUGAAGAUCCCAAAAUGAGCUUGAUGUAAAGUCAUACCAAAGUUCUU
rnacentral:lncRNA from 1 species